rnacentral:rRNA from 1 species
CAGCCGCCGCGGUAAUACGAAGGGUGCAAGCGUUACUCGGAAUUACUGGGCGUAAAGCGUGCGUAGGUGGUUACUCAAGUCAGAGGUGAAAGCCCGGGGCUCAACCCCGGAACUGCCUUUGAAACUAGGUGACUAGAAUCUUGGAGAGGUCAGUGGAAUUCCGAGUGUAGUGGUGAAAUUCGUAGAUAUUCGGAAGAACACCAGUGGCGAAGGCGACUGACUGGACAAGUAUUGACGCUGAGGUGCGAAAGCGUGGGGAGCAAACAGGAUUAGAGACCCGAGUAGUCCCUGUCUCUUAUAC